GAGUUUGUUCCUUAGAGUAAGGACAUCUAGCUGAUAAUUAGAUUGGUGAAGGUUAAAUUCCUUUCAAACUUU
rnacentral:tRNA from 1 species